rnacentral:lncRNA from 1 species
AAGUAUUUUACAUCUCCUAAAAGAUAAGUAAAUAGGAAUAACUAUUCAUAAUAAACGAAAUCAAUAACCUAAAAGACAAAGUAAUAGGUAAUAGGUAAAUGCAGGCGCAACAAGAACCUCGAGGUUGUAUAAAGCAACCUGAUUUAUAUCAAUUAGUUUUGCACUAUAAUUAAGAGAAAAUUAGUAAAACAGUCCUUCGCUCCUCUCUGUUCCUCCAUAAUUUAGCAUUAUAGACAACUUAGAGUCUACAUUGAGUUUGACCAGUGUCUAACAAGCAAAACAAAAGGAGUAAAGAAAGAUAAAAUUAAAGAAAUAAUGGAAAAUCUAAAAGACUAUAUGCCUGGCUCCCUUCUAUAUGCCUCUUUAAUUCCAAGCUUCAUUUUAGGGUUGGGCAGAUUUUAAGAGCCCAAUAAAAUGUUACCCUUCUCUUUGAGAAACUGAAAAUCUAAAAGACAAUUUGCCACUUGCUUUCUAUUGGCAAACUCUUUUCCACUUCUCUUCAUCAUAAUCUUCUGUCUGAAUGGAUUCAAAUAUCUCAAACUAUGAAAAUUAUAUAAAAACACUUCUUCUUCUCGGGGUAGUUGAGGUUGAGGGUAAGAAGAGAAAGGGUUAGGGAAUUUGUAGGAGUAGAUAUAUAGAGGAGAAAGUAGAGAGUACGAAAGGGAUUAAAUUAAAGAGUGCCAGACGGAAGAGGAAGAGGCAUCUUGUCCAUGCGGUUUAAUUUGUUUCUUCAGC